UGUCAAGCACACAAAACGUCCAAUUUCAUUCAAUACGCCAUGAAUCUAAUCGAUUGAAACUCCCAUGAUUGCUAUAUCAAUAAAGGAAAUUCACCACCAAAUGCUAGAAAUCAUCUGUUCAGGGUUACAGUCAUGCCCUCAAAGACACUCUUAAUAGGUCCACGGCCAUCUCUUCUACCUGAUGUAUUGCUCCCCACAACUUUCUGGGGUUCCCAAUUCAAGCAAAUGGUGCCGAUUCGUGUUCAGUUUUACCAAUUUUUAGGGUUCCCGUGAGUUCCUCUUUCGUGUUCAUUUUGGUUUAGGGUAACCUGCACAACCCAAUUCAUCGCCAGAGAUACGUGUCAUUGUAUCCAACAGGCGUAGAGAUGGUAAUUACACAUAGCAGGCAGACGCCAUUACUUUUGAUGCUGAGGUAAGGCAUGGUUUAAUUUUUACCUCCAAAUGUGUUACAUUCAAAGUUUGUUUUUUCUGUAUAUAAAGGUCUGAUAGUUUAUCUUAUUAUUAGAUUGAUCGUGUAUAUUUGAGUACAUCUACUAAGAUCGCCAUAAUUGACCAUGAGAAGAAGAGAACAAUCUUCUUACGUAAAGAAGGCAUGGUGGAUGCAGCUGCUCCUACAGUUUCAUUAAAGUCUUCAGGGACCCACAAGGUCUUCGUCUGUCAGAUGAAUGGAAGCUAAAGUUAUUUAAUAAACUUGGAGGGACUAAAGAUGCCAUAUAUUGAAAAUGGAAAAUUCAUCAUGAUAAGUAUUGGAAGAUGAAGGACUAUAUGUGAAUA
rnacentral:lncRNA from 1 species